rnacentral:rRNA from 1 species
UAACGCGUGGGUAACCCUACCUCAGUACAGGGGGGAUAACAGUUGGAAACGACUGCUAACACCGCAUAACAAGUUGGGACCGCAUGAUCCUAACUUCAAAUAUUUAUAGGUAUGAGAUGGGCCCGCGUCUGAUUAGCUAGUUGGUGGGGUAAUGGCCUACCAAGGCGACGAUCAGUAGCCGGCUUGAGAGAGUGACCGGCCACAUUGGGACUGAGACACGGCCCAAACUCCUACGGGAGGCAGCAGUGGGGAAUAUUGGACAAUGGGGGCAACCCUGAUCCCAGCGACGCCGCGUGAGUGAAGAAGUUAUUUCGGUAUAGUAAAGCUCUAUCAGCGAGGGAAGAUAAUGACAGUACCUGACUAAGAAGCCCCGGCUAACUACGUGCCAGCCGCGGC